UCCGUUAUGGUCUAGGUAAGCAUCUCUCGCCCUUCAUCCCAACCCAACAAAUAACUAACAAAUACACAGUGGCUAGGAUACAUCGCUCUCACAGCAAGUGCCGAUGUGGCCGGGGUUCGAUUCCCCGUGACGGAA